rnacentral:rRNA from 1 species
CAGCAUGCCCGCGUGCAGGACGACGCAUCUCUGGUGUGUAAACUGCUUUUAUACGGGAAGAAACCUCUCUACGCGUAGAGACUUGACGGUACCGUAAGAAUAAGGAUCGGCUAACUCCGUGCCAGCAGCCGCGGUAAUACGGAGGAUUCGAGCGUUAUCCGGAAUCAUUGGGUUUAAAGGGUCCGUAGGCGGGCUGUUAAGUCAGGGGUGAAAGUUUUCGGCUUAACCGAAAAAUUGCCUUUGAUACUGAUAGUCUUGAAUAUUUGUGAAGUAACUAGAAUAUGUGGUGUAGCGGUGAAAUGCAUAGAUAUCACAUGGAAUACCGAUUGCGAAGGCAGGUUACUAACAGAUUAUUGACGCUGAUGGACGAAAGCGUGGGUAGCGAACAGGAUUAGAUACCCUGGUAGUCCACGCCGUAAACGAUGGAUACUAGCUGUUUGGACAGAUUGAUGUUUGAGUGGCUAAGCGAAAGUCGAUAAGUAUCCCACCUGGGGAGUACGUCGCCAGAUGCAAACUCA